rnacentral:lncRNA from 1 species
AGGAAUUUGGUAGCAUUUAUAUUUCUUUUGAUUUCUGUUCAUAGAGGAAUUCACUCAAGAUUCAAUAGCAGAUCUCAAACACGUAAUGACAAACACUUUAGUAUUUUGACAUUUGUACAUGCGUUCAGUAGCAUCUAGCUACAUUACUAAAUAGAGUUUACAUGCAAGACAAUAAGACCUUUUGUUCAAACUAAGCUACACAAAUGGUUUGAGCUGCGAAUACAAGAAACGUCAUGUAGUCUUCAAGUGCUAUCAUGUAGAAGAAACAUCAUGUAGACGUGAAGUGCUAUCAUGUAGAAGAAACAUCGUGUAGAUAGUGCAGAAGAUCUUCCAACGAUGAUGCCAACCUGAACAGAGAAGAUGGUAGAACUGCUAUAAGCUAAUAAUCUUGGUAAAUAUCUAUAUUGUAGCACAAAAAAUGGACAUAGUCUCAGACAUCAAACACUAAUGGCUCGCCUCUUGAGGGGGGAUUUUGCGUGCCAGAGGAUAUGGGCACAUAGUUGAUAGAAAAGUUUGACAGGAACCUGCAUGAAUAAUCCAUUAAUCGUCAUGUCCUAACAUGUUCUCGGCUCUGCUACUAGCACUUGUACUGGCAUAAAUUUACUUGCAAACGUACCAGCUGAAUUGCUCUGUUAAAGAAAAGCUUUGGAUUAAAUAUAGCUUCUAAAUAUUAGCCACCAAAAGGUCGGCCAAACUUUGCUGAAGCCCUGCAAAUGAGCAUAAGAUGUGCAUAUAUGUAACCGCAGAGAAAAUAGUUAGUUCAAGGUAUUGGAAGGAUAUAAAAGACCUGCACCCAGCGACAUAAACAAAGUUUUACACAUCCAGUCUUCCUAAUCAAUUUAAGAAUUCAUCACAAAUUUUAAUGAUCAAAAUAUUCAGACCAACGACAACAGGUUUUAACUAAAAAAGGUCAUAUAAAAUCAUGACAAUUGUAAAAGAAAGGAGAAGGGAAAUUACUUGUUGCUUCUUUUACAUCUCCUUGCAUAAAGCUAGGACUCUAGAAUCAAUUAAUAUGUCGAGAAUCAAUGAAAUAAACUAAAUAACCACCAUAAUUGCCAUCUUGUACAUGAGCUUGUUGUUUAUACUUUGAUAUCUAGUUAAGCAAAGAACAGAAAACACUUGGACAUAGUUUAUUCACAUAAGAUUCAAAGAUAUGAAACCAGGCUGCCAAAUAAUCAUGUUAUUUACACAAGGUAGAAGCUCGUAAAGAAGACAUUAAUCAAGUAGUAGCAUCAACCAGAAUGAGCAGAAUAUCUACACAUACGUUUUGACAAGUACAGAAUGAGCAAGUAUCUCAAUUCUCCUCCAUGCACAAGACUUUGAGUUGUAAAUGAACUUGGUUCCUAAAGAUUUGUCUAGAAAUAACUAAAAUAUACAUGAGAUAGGAUCAGAUAAGUAUUCCAAAGCAAGUAGUCAUAUCAUGUUUUAAAACAGAUGCGUAGCUGACAGAACACCAAUUUCUGCUAGCAUCAUUUUCAACUUUCAGUGUGUAUCUAUAGCAAGGUUCCUGAUGUGUACAAAAUACAAAAAAGUGUAAUGCCACUAUGCUAGGUCAGCCACUUUUUACACAUAAAAAAGUACUGGACUAUGCAUAGGAAUACAAGAGAAGGCAUCACCUAUGCUCUUCAUAAAUGGUUAUAUGUCAGGAGACCAACGACUCUGUUUCAAGUACUGCCCAAUAACAAAAGACUAAUCUUCAGAAUACACAGGGCAUGUAAAAGCUCAGUUCCAGGACAUGUAAAAGCUUCCAGUAGUUGUAUGCAUAAAAAGACUAAUCAAAUUCAGGGCAUGUAUACAGAUGGCAAGCAAAAUCUCAGUUCAUAUGUUUACUGCAGUUUCAUUUGCAUGAAGCAUAUAAGAAACGAAAUGCUAAAUAAGUUUCAAUGUUCUGAAAUAGCAGCAAACAUGUAUCCAAAAGUAAAUAUAUAAUCAUAAGAGCAUAAGCUUAUGUGCUUGUAUGGAGUAGUUGACACUGCUUGGAGAGGACAAAGAAGAUGUACGCUGCUCACAAGACAAACAAUCCAAAAAAAUAUUUCAGUGAAAGCAUCAAAUGAAAAUUAGGGAACAGUUUGUAAGAAUUACAUAUAGGAGAAAAGAGCAUGGUACUCAGCUAGCCUCAUGUCCUAAUUCUUCCAAUUUUUCUACUUAGGAGCAUAGCUCCCAAUUUCCAUUACUGAAAACAUCAGAGACUAAGCCACACACACCAGCACUACUACCAAACCUAGACGCACAACCUAAACAACAAGCAUCCAAACGUUCUAAUUAUCAGCAACAAAACAGCAGUCUUAUAUUACUCGUGGCCCUGCAUGACAAGGUACUGUACUGCUAGGGUUAUAUUACUUGUACAUGGCACUGCCAGUAGACCCUUUUCCAAAAUCUGAACCACAUGCACAUCUUAAGCUGUGUACCAUCUCUAUGAACAUAGCUAUGGAUGUAUUUGUUCUUAAGUGUUAAGCUAAAUAAAAGAAGUUUUAACAAUAGGGGAUCUUGUAAUUUAAUAAGUCAUGAUGCCAUGCUAUUUCCAGUAGUGGUGACAGUACAAAACCAAAUUGCUAUCAUUUUACUCUAGAAAAAAUAAAUUAUCAAGCAAAUGUUUUUCAAUUCAAUAAUAAAGGUUGCAACACUUGAAGGGAUUUCUACUAUGAUAGACAACUAUUGAUCAUAAAAUUCCAGAAUCGGAUGACUGGGAGCAGUGGCAAACUAGAAAUAGAAAAUUAUAGAAGAAAAUUCCAGAUCAAACCCCAUAUAUCUAUAUUCAUAGAACUAACACAUUCUUUUUUGCGGGGUCAUAGAACUAACACAUUCACUAGUUAAAAUUGUUUAACUCUAGAAGUGGUACUCCACUUUCAGUCUACAUUUGCACCAAAAUAUACAGAAAGAAGUUCUCUAGCUAUAUUUGCAGCACGGCCUUUAAACUUAUCUUCCCAGAGCUUGCAUGUAGUACUCCUACUGGGAUUCACUGAUUUAGUAUGCAGUUGUAGCGACAAUUUGCUGCAAUGGAAGAUCUCCUCACCAUAAGAAAAACUUGGGGCUAGCCGUUAUUUUCACAAAUGUACUGUCAUAUAAACUCAAAACACUUUCUGAAGUUGUUCUAGUUACUGGUCAGAAGAAAAAGGGAACAAAAGUUUACAAAGAAUGAAAUCUCACCGGCCAAGUGCUCUCGGUGGGCAAGGAGGCGGCGCUGCACCUGGGGGAGGAUGUACAGGAGGUGGAGCUUCUCGGGAGAGGGGCCCUGCUCAGGUGAGGGAAACAUGAGGCAGCCCAACUUAGUGCUCGGGGAGGGAUGCUCGUGGAGGAGGAGGCCCUGCUUGGGGGAGAAAGCUUGAGGAGGAGGAGGCCUGCUCGGCGGAGGAAACCUGCGGAGGAGGUGGCUGUUGUGGUGGGGAUGGAGGGCGAUCGGCGACUUUCCUCGGGAGGAAGCAGGCGCUAGGUGCAGCAGGGGAUGGGGAGGAAGCGGCCAAGGGAUUCGUCGGUGUAGGAGGGUGCUCGGCGACGACUAGGCGGUCGGCGGCGACUGUGCUCGGGGCGGAAGCCUACGCUGAGGUGGAGUGGCUGGUGGAGGUGGUGGCGGCGGCGUGGUCUGGUUGGACGCGGCGGCGUGGUCGGGUUGGAGGGUUAGGUUUUGCAAGAUUUGGGGAAGAAAUGGUCAGGGCGAU